GGCCGAUUGGUUGACAGCCGGCUGCCUUGCCUUAAGAAGCAGGGCGUCUGAUGUCAAGCCGCCUCUCCCUCUGCCGACUGCCUGCCUGCCUGCCUGCCUGCCUGCCUGCCUGUGCCAAGAAGCCUACCCGAAUCGAGGGAAGAGAGAACGAUGCCCGGGAGCGCCUUAACUUCACGCCGGGCGCAAGGGCGGAAGGGGGCCGAUUGGUUGACAGCCGGCUGCCUUGCCUUAAGAAGCAGGGCGUCUGAUGUCAGUGAGUGGGGCGGUUUCGUUGGGGGCGAGAGGCCUGGCCGACCUUGCGAGGGUCUUCCCA
rnacentral:lncRNA from 1 species